rnacentral:rRNA from 1 species
UGACCAUAUCACGUUGAAACACCGGUUCGCGUACGAUCAACGAAGUUAAGUAACGUCGAGCCUGGUCAGUACUUAGAUGGGUGGCCGCUUGGGAAUACCAGGUGCUGUA